rnacentral:tRNA from 1 species
CGUUAUGAAGCUAUAGGAAACAGCAUCAGCCUUUUAAGCUGAAUAGAGGUGACUUCCGCCCACCCAUAACGA